UUUAGCAUUUAAUAGGCACAUAAUCAACAUUUACUGUUAAAACAAAAUUAAAAUUGGGCGCUGUCUCUAUCUUUAUUUGUGAUCAGCCCUAACUGCACUGGCAAUCUUUCCCGUUUUUACGUUUUCUGUUUUCCAUUUGCAUGUGCCUUGGCGUACCUAGGUCUCUGGCUCCUUUACAAAAGAAAUCCGAAGUGCUCCGCAAGCACUGACAGCGAAAGCGAAAGACUCUCAAACGGACAAGAUGUCAGCCACCUCUUCGCGCCUCUUAGUCCCACCCACUCAGGGCGGAGGUCUGCGUCAUGUGACCCUCCCUUCCUGGCUCCGCCUCCUGCCGCAGUGCCUGACGGGAGGCGGAGCGGCGAACGAGGCCGUCGGCCAUUUUGUGUCUGCUUCCUGUGGGACGCGGUCGUAGCCGUUGGGUCGGGAAAGUGAGGGAUUUUUCGCCUCGUUUCUCCUGCUUCUUUUCUCCUCCCUUUUACUUUGUCGGUAGAACACAGUUAUGGGUCGCAAGAAGAAGAAGCAGCUGAAGCCGUGGUGCUGGUAUUGUAAUAGAGAUUUUGAUGAUGAGAAGAUCCUUAUACAGCACCAAAAAGCAAAGCAUUUUAAAUGCCAUAUAUGUCACAAGAAAUUGUAUACAGGACCUGGCUUAGCUAUUCAUUGCAUGCAGGUACAUAAAGAAACAAUAGAUGCCGUACCAAAUGCAAUACCUGGAAGAACAGACAUAGAAUUGGAAAUAUACGGUAUGGAAGGUAUUCCAGAAAAAGACAUGGAUGAAAGACGACGACUUCUUGAGCAGAAAACACAAGAAAGUCAAAAAAAGAAGCAACAAGAUGAUUCUGAUGAAUAUGAUGAUGAUGACUCUGCAGCCUCAACUUCAUUUCAGCCACAGCCUGUUCAACCUCAACAAGGUUAUAUUCCCCCAAUGGCACAGCCAGGACUGCCACCAGUACCAGGAGCACCAGGAAUGCCUCCAGGCAUACCUCCAUUAAUGCCAGGUGUUCCUCCUCUGAUGCCAGGAAUGCCACCAGUUAUGCCAGGCAUGCCACCUGGAUUGCAUCAUCAGAGAAAAUACACCCAGUCAUUUUGCGGUGAAAACAUAAUGAUGCCAAUGGGUGGAAUGAUGCCACCUGGACCAGGAAUACCACCUCUGAUGCCUGGAAUGCCACCAGGUAUGCCCCCACCUGUUCCACGUCCUGGAAUUCCUCCAAUGACCCAAGCACAGGCUGUUUCAGCGCCAGGUAUUCUUAAUAGACCACCUGCACCAACAGCAACUGUACCUGCUCCGCAGCCUCCAGUUACUAAGCCUCUUUUCCCCAGUGCUGGGCAGAUGGGGACACCUGUCACAAGCUCAAGUACAGCUUCAUCCAAUUCAGAAAGUCUGUCUGCAUCUUCUAAAGCUCUGUUUCCUAGCACAGCACAAGCUCAGGCAGCUGUCCAAGGACCUGUUGGUACAGAUUUCAAACCCUUAAAUAGUACCCCUGCAACAACUACAGAACCCCCAAAGCCUACAUUCCCUGCUUAUACACAAUCUACAGCUUCAACCACUAGUACAACAAAUAGUACUGCAGCUAAACCAGCAGCUUCAAUAACAAGUAAGCCUGCUACACUCACAACAACUAGUGCAACCAGUAAGUUGAUCCAUCCAGAUGAGGAUAUAUCCCUGGAAGAGAGAAGGGCACAGUUACCUAAAUAUCAACGUAAUCUUCCUCGGCCAGGACAGGCCCCCAUUGGUAAUCCACCAGUUGGACCAAUUGGAGGUAUGAUGCCACCACAGCCAGGCAUCCCACAGCAACAAGGAAUGAGACCCCCAAUGCCACCUCAUGGUCAGUAUGGUGGUCAUCAUCAAGGCAUGCCAGGAUACCUUCCUGGUGCUAUGCCCCCGUAUGGGCAGGGACCACCAAUGGUGCCCCCUUACCAGGGUGGGCCUCCUCGACCUCCGAUGGGAAUGAGACCUCCUGUAAUGUCGCAAGGUGGCCGUUACUGAUCUUACUUCAUCCAGUCUAAUAGGUUUUUAGAAGUGAAGUAUAGUAAAUUUGGUUCGUUAAAUUGUGAAGGCGCUGGAAUUACAUGAACAUACCACCUUAAUAAAGCCCUGCCAUAGGACAGGCUGAGGCUGAGUCUCAGUGUUGCCCUGUUCAGUCUGAGCAGCAGAAUUUCAGCAUUUGCUACUUACUGGUAGAGAAGAAAAAUCCCACAGCCCUGCCAGUACAGGUUAGUUUAAUCUGUAAGUACCUGAUGUUCCUAUUUUUUUCAAACAUAUCCAUAUAACUCACACAAGGAAGAAAGCUGUGCAAUUACUUAAAUGUGAGUAUAACUAAUAAUAGAUCGAUUGGACACUUUAAACACUCAGUACUUGGGCCAAAGUAGAUCUAGGUUUGCUAACCCCAGUUGUAAUAAAGGUGUAAUACUGCUCCUUUGUUAUCUCCUUGUGGUUCAACCUAAGUAGAUACAUUGUACGUAAAAGGAAAAGACAGUUUGAGUUGGCUGUGCCUUUGUUGAUAGAUGAUAUGGAGUCCAGGGCUUUGGGUCCAGGGUCUUUUACUUAAGCUAUUUCAUGGUGGUUCUCUCAUUCACCUUUUAACUUUUUACAGUAUGAAUCAACCUAAGAAAAAAGGCAAGUUUCCUCACAUCUAGAAAUGAUAAAUGGUGUACAGUCAUAAGCUAGAAUAUGUUUUUAUAAUGCUUUUUUGUUCUUCUAGCAACACUUAUAGAUACAAGUACUCCUUUUUUUUCUUUUUUUGUAAACUAUAACGUAUCCUGUUGGUGUACCAGUGAGUUCAUUUUACUGUGAACUAAGAAUAACUUACCUUUUUAAUAUUGAAAGCUGACUACCCAUCAAGAAAUGUAGCUAGAUUCUUCAUGUAACACUUUUGAGGGGCAGUGGGGACAUAAUGGGUUGUGGAAGAUGUGUUUAACAUUUUUAUUUUUAUUUUUUUCAUUCUACCCAAGUUCAUUGUUGUUUGAACCAUCCUUUAACCUUUAAAUGUUGUGCUUUUAGGUUGAUACAAAUGUAAAGCACUGAGGAGGGAGGAAUAAAGCAUACAAGUUAAUUUCUAAUUUUCGCAAGCCUGAACCAUCCUAAUCUGAUGGUAGGAUGUAUGGCUUCUUCCUUUGCACCUUGUGUGAUACCUAAUUUGAGACGAUCUAGCCAUAAAACUAGUUAAUCUUGAAUUCCUCUUGAACUGGAUGGUGGUUAGCCAUUGUGAUAACAGAUUAUAUGGAAAUUGUGCAUAUUGUUAAAUUUUAAAACAUGGAUUUAUCAACUGAUAAUAAAAUAUAUCUUACAAGAUAUCCACUUGUUUUUUAAUGUAAAAUUGCACAAGGGCUUAAGUUUCAUUGCCUUUCACAGUUUAAUUUGUAUAUGAAAUGGUGUAGAUGCAGUGGAAAUGGUUUUCCUUAAAACCAUCUCUUUAAAGCUGCCUUUCUGGUGAGUACUAUUUUAUACUUUUAUAUAUUAUAAUUUUACCUUCUAAAAUUAACUGAACUAGGACACUUUGAUUAAAGAGGGGAGCAGUCUGAAUUUCUACAUCUCUUUGGAUAUUACUUGAAUCAAGAAUAUUAGAAAAUUAUUUUACCACCUGGCAUUUCCCUUUUAAUGCUUUUUUAAGAAAAAAGUUCACCUUUUUCUGAUCUUCACUUAACAGACUACACAUACAAAAACUUUUAACACAUAAAUUAUUUCAUUUUCAUGAGAUGGAAUAAAUGUUUAAAACUAGUAUUUAAGAAAGUUCUUAAACAUUUUCUUUUUAGUUGGCAGCCAAAAGAUUUUUCUCAGUGCUUUGGAGACAUUGCAUAGGUGUAAAGUUAAGAUACCAGAACUUCAUUCUGUUUUUGUUGGAGCUGUUGUUGCAGUGAUUCAUGAGCAGUAAGCUGGAGUUCGGGUGGAAGAGGGGUUUACCAAAAUCAAAAUUCUUCAUGCAGACCAGUUACUUACAGGGUUUCUUUGAGAGGCUUAAACAUUUCAAAAGUAUUAUUUAAGCCACUCUAACCCUGCAUGAAAAAUUGGAGUUAGAAAUACAGAUUUCUGAGACCACGUAUACCAGUGAAAGUUAGCUUCUGAGUAUGUUUCUAAUUACUUUAUGCCCUGCUUUAUUUAGCCUCGGUAUAUGUAACGCAUGGAUUAUUUUUUCCCUCUAGUUUUUAACUGUAUCCUAGAUAAAAACUAGCAUAUACUAAGAAUGUUUUUACAUUCUGUUUCCUCCUGUGAUCUUUGGGAACCAGUAAUGAAUAGUCAACUCUGAUGCUUUUUAGUAUGAACAAUGAUAGUUUUCUGAAAUCUGAAAAUCGAUAUCUGAGCAUGUGAUGUGGCAAUGCCUUCUUUUAGAUAAGCACUAAACAAAGUGUGGACCCUCCAUUUGUGUCUUUAAGAUUUAAAGUGAAGUAAAUUUCUAAGGAACUGUGUCCUUUCCUAGCAGGAAUAAACAGACAGUGAAAAUUUGGUAAGUAUGUAACUUUAAGUGCAUGUAAUAGUGAUGAGUAAGUAGCCAAAUUUUGAUAGCAUAAGAUAAUGUUUAAAAGUGAACAAUAAUAAUUGCAUCUCUUUUGUGACUUAAUGUAUAUAUGUGUUUAACAUUUUUUACAAAUUUGUGUGCAUAAAGAUUAAAUUGGAACAUACCUUACUCCUUUGUCUGUUUUUUUUUUUUUUUUUAUUUUGUAUGGUGCUUUAAAUACUAAUUUUACAUUUCAAGCUUUUUGCAGGGUAGAAAUAAGUGGCUGUUAAAGAAAAUAUCUUCAAGAAGAAUUAUUUCAGUGUCCCUUUUUAAAACUCAAUGAUGGCUUUCAGUUUACUUAAGUCUUCUGUUUUUCAGCUCCAGUUAAAACUGACAAUAGGCAGCUAUCAAAAAUGGAAAAAAUCUUGUGCUCCUUCUGGAAUAUUAGAGGAAUCAGUAACAGUAAAGUGAUAUUAACCCAAUACUUGAGUUGUAGUUUUUAAAGCAGUUUUUAAAUUGAGAGAAAAGGGGCCGGGCCCCGGCUGAGGUGGGUGGAUUGCCUGAGAUUAGGAGUUUUUGAGACCUGCCUGGUCAACAUAGUGAAACCCUGUCUCUACUAAAAAUACAAAAAUCAGCUGGGUGUGGUCGGACGUGCCUGGAACCCCAGCUACUCUGGAGGCUGAGGCAGGAGAAUCACUUGAACCCAGGAGGAGGAGGUUGCAGUGAGCCAAGAUUGCGCCAUUGCACUCCAGCCUGGGUGACAGAGAGAGACUCCGCCUCAAAAAAAAAAAAAAAAAAAAAAGGAAAGGUGGUGAAAUUUGGGAGUCUAUUCCCUGAGAUGUUGUAUUAAUAAUAAAGUGAUAAUAAAUGAAGGUUAAAGUGUUCAGUUGCUACACCAGGAAAGAUUAUUUCUGAGGAAAAGGUCCGUUUAUUUCCAAACUAGUCUAGUGGUUUAGAGUAAGCAUUUUAUGAAGUGGUGCAAGAUCGCAAAGGUUAGUAAAGGGGCCAGGUCAAUCUUCAGGCUUCACUUUUACUGGUAAGGGAUUAUGUGAAGCAUAAGUCAUACAUGGGAUAUGAUUGUAAGGAGGUCUGAAUAAAGCGUGAUGAAUGUUAGACCAUGUGGAUUAUUAAAUGGUCUAGUUGAAUAAAAAAUCAUGACUGAUAGGAUAAUUUUUAGUGUAAGUAAACAGGAUCACUAAGGGUAAUUAAAUACUAGCUUUUAAAAUGUAAAGUUCUCACAAAUAAUAUUAGUACAUCUUGUCACUUUGAUUUGUCACCUUGUUAAAUAGCUGGAAGCUUGUGCAAAUGAAAAAUGAAAUGGAAGCCUACAUUUAUGUGUAUUAUCUGUAUAAUUUUUGUCUACUAGUAGGUUCAGAGAGAGAGACGUUCCUUAAUAUGUAGCCAUGUAAUUAGAACUCACAAGGGGCAUUGAAAUGUUUUUCUUUUUCAGAUGGUCUGGGGCUAUUUACUUUAAGUAAGCCAAGUCUACCAUUUGAAAAACGGUGCUUUAUUUCCAUAUCUGAAAUCAGAAGUUAUUUUUUAGUUUUCAUCUAAAAGUGGAAAGAUUUUUGCUUCUGCCUUAUUAAAAGCCUCUUUGGAGAUGAUUAUCUCCUUCACUCAUUAACCUUUGAGUGCUUGUUGUCUAUAAAGAUGAAUAAAAUCUUUCGUUUAUUAUUUA